rnacentral:sRNA from 1 species
AGAUAAAUCAGCACGCGUCCCGAGAAACCCGCAAUCUCUGCGCCCACAAAAUACACGGACGAUGCCCGAUCUACUUUAAGGGCUGAAACCCAGGGCCUGGGAGACUUAAGAGCGUUCCCUACCGCCAUGGAACAACGGGGACAGAACGCCCCGGCCGCUUCGGGGGCCCGGAAAAGGCGCGGCCCAGGACCCAGGGAGGUGCGGGGAGCCGGGCCUGGGCUCCGGGUCCCCAAGACCCUCGUGCUCGUUGUCGCCGCAGUCCUGCUGUUGGUCUCAGCUGAGUCUGCUCUGAUCACCCAACAAGACCUAGUUCCCCAGCAGAGAGCGGCCCCACAACAAAAGAGGUCCAGCCCCUCAGAGGGAUUGUGUCCACCUGGUAUGUUCAAGAUGGGUCUCUGAUCUUUGCCCCUCCUCCCCUUGUCUCCAUGAGCUUCCAGUCUUUUCCUUUGCACUUCCUCAUUCUUUAUUCCACAGAGAGGCAUUGGGUGCCUCCAAGAAUUGAGUGGGACAGA